UAACCAUAUCUUCAGCUAGCUUCACCUUGGCUCUCAAAGCCUCAACGUCUGAUUUAAGAACUCGGUUAUUUGUAUGAGCAUCACGAUAUUGAUGAGAAGCAUCUGAAAGCUGCUUGUACAAAGACGCAUUAUCUCCUGUGAGUUGUUCAACCUGCGAUUCAAGCUCGUGCAAAUGUGCUUGUUUUCUUUUUCUUGAUCGUCUAGCUGACUCCCGGUUUGAAACCAUCCUUCUAAUGCGUCUUAAAUCAAUGGGAUUGGAAUUGUUGCUCUGUUCACAAGGACCGGCUUCUGUCUCUGCAUCAUCAUCGUCUGAGGAACCACUCUUCCUUGGUUUGGAUUAUUAUUUGCCGAAAAUGGACUCCCAACAAAAACUGAUGACUGGG
rnacentral:misc_RNA from 1 species